GCAACGUCCAGCGUCCGUUAUGUGACGUUAGUUUAAUGUCUUCUGAUUGACUAACAGACAACACACUAUUGUAUAGGUUUGUGACUGAUUAAAACAGUUUGGUCUGCUACCGAACAAGAUUGCUUCUCCAACCCGGGCUCAUCACCCAAGUUCAUUGACGCUGUAUUGAUCAUCGGGAUAUUCACGAUCUCCUAGACUUUGGCUAGACGCCAGAACUUCUCUAAACCUGAAACGCCCAUGUUCUCUUCCAGCAUGUACAACAAAAUGGAACUUGCGUUGUCUACCCAUUACUUUACUUCGUGGACGCCAAACGAUGCCAAACCAUCGGAUGAAACCAUUAAGCCUAACAAUUAUGAUAAAUAUUAUGAUCUCAUAUUUCUCUUAACUUAUUCACUGGGGAAUUUAAACCAAAGUGUAUUAAAAUAGCAUUUCAGAUCUAUCUCUAGCCGUUCAUAUCACUUAACAAAAUAUGGUACUGAAAAAGAAUCAUAUCGUACAAAAGUCACACUUUUUUGUUUAUACAAACUUCUUGAUUUUUCUGGUUUGAAACCUCUAUAAGACAAACAAAGAUAAAAUUACUUGCAGUCUAAAACAGUUGUUAGUACAAAUAUUACGUUUGCACUUUUUUAAUGAUGCGUCUAAACGUAAGAUAAAUUACACGGAGAAUUAACAAUGUAAGGCGAGUUGAUUAUGAGAAAAUAGGGCCAAUUAACAAUGUCUACACAAGAUUUGUAAUAACACAACAACACCAAAAUAACGAAACUAAAGAUGUAAACUACGAAAUACUGAAAUAACCAAACUAAAGGUGUAAACUUUAAAAUACUGAAAUAACCAAACUAAAGGUGUAAACACAAAAAUACUCAAAUAACCAAACUAAAGGUGUAACCACAAAAAUACUGAAAUAACCAAACUAAAGGUGUAAACACAAAAAUACUGAAAUAACCA